UUCUCAUAUAAGGUACAAUGAUGACCUCAAGUCAAAGGACCAAUUUCACUACCGAGUGUUAGAGAUUAACCACUGACACUUAAAUAGUUAUCCAUGUGGAAUCUCGAAGCGAGUCUCCAAUGUUUUGUUCUAUAACAAAAUAUUCACGCGUUCAUUUAAGUGUCAUCACACUUUAACUUGUAAGAUCAGCUAUUUACUUCACAAGUAAGAAAUUCCACACAGGGUGGUCUAUCCGUAAUAAUGAUAUCCUCAUCUCGUUAUUACUUAUAACCAUGAAUUAUUUAAAGUCCAAUCAUAUGUAAUUUGUAUCUCACAAUCACAAUUCAUUAUAAUUUAUAAUUACUGAAACUUGAAUCUACGGACUUUAUUAUUUAAUACUAUUCAUCAGAUUAUUAAUUUAAAUAAAUAAUAGAUCUUACCAAAAAUAAAUGGAUUAAAUAUAUUAAAAAUGUUUACAACCUAAAUAGAGCGAAAAAUACUAAGAAUUAUUUAGGCGUACUAUUACUGGGGUUUGACUUGUCAUUCUUUUAGAGAGAACUUUAUUCAAGACCUAAAUUAUGUAUGAUUUUAAUGUUCAAAACAUGAUAUAAUUACAAUGUAUUGACAAGAAUAUAAUAAUUUUGUUGUACACUUAGUAAUUAUCCUUAUAUAGUGCGGGUAAAAUUUCAAUAAUAAAAAAUGGAGUUACAAAAUAAAUAGGAAAAUAACGAAAUCUAACAGACUAAAAGCCGAGGAUUUCUUGCUCUCUUUAAGGAGAUUCAAGCCUUUUGUGGUUGGCAAAGCUUAAAACACGGUGCAGAUGAACUUCUGUAUGACUUAUUUUAUCUAGGAUUUAACAGCCCAACUAUUUGUUGUAUAACUCAAACAAACUCUACACAAGUAGUUUAGCUCAAAACUCCACUAAAAGAACGCCAUUCUUUGCUCAAUAAUCUCCCAAAGAAAAUGAGUGAAAAUGUAAUGAGAAGAUAAGAGACUUGUGAUUGUGUGGUGUUAAUGAAUGAUCCUAUUUAUAGGUAAAAAUAGACCACCCAAAAUAAAAAGAUGUCAAAAACACUUGAAGGUUACAUAUUCAAUUCCCAACUUUUCAUCUUUCAUUUUCCAUAGAAUCUGCGAAACCGCGACCGCUAGAGCCCCUAAAUCUCCUGUUGCUGGCUGAAUGACGGGUAGGACAACCGCAAGUGUAUCUUGAGAUGGUUGUUUGCAUCUGACUUCCGUUGGGUUGAGAGUGGGAUCGUGGCUCUCUGUGAUUGACUUUAUAAGAGGGUCAUCAUUGCGGCCAACUAAGCCUCCAGAGUGUUGAAUUAGAUUUGUGUCUCAUAUUGCAACGACAAUGACCUUUGAGACUGACUCCGACUCUAUCUCCAUCAUGUCCCCGCCCAAGCAUGUGUCACUCCUCUUUCGUCUUCUUAACAUAGCUUUUCUAUUUAGUGAAUGGUUCCUACAAACGGUGCCAAUGAAAUAGUUAUGAAACAAACCUCUAUGUCCUGUAGUGGCACAAGGUGUUUUUGCUACUCCAAUGAACAAAUAUUACCAACAAAAUGAGGUUGAAACUUUCUCCCUCAUUAUACCUCUGGUGUGAGAAUUAGUAUGGGAUAUAAGGACGUAAACUUAGGAAGGAAAGAUAGAAUGGGUAUUAAGAUAGCCAGAUUUUUCCAAGAUCCAUACCUAUUUUGCCUUAGAAGUAUUUAUUGGUAAUUGGAACCAUGUAACUACUGGGCGAUUAUAGUGCCAUGUGUCUCACGUAUUCCUUUCCACUACUCCCACAUUCUGAGAGUGGGACCUCCACCAGUCUAGCAAUUGAUUGUGUCUGUGAUUACCGAUAAAUGAUCCUCACCCAAUUUAAUGAUGAUUUUACGGUUAUACUGGUAUAUGACCUCAUAGUUGUUGACAGCCUCAGCAUUAACGUAGAGGACCUCAUAGUGAUUGAUGGGCUCAGAUGGAUGUAGAAGGCCUUAUAGUGGUCGACGGUCCAACAUGGAUGUGAGGGCUUAUUGCAUAGCAUCCACCUUAUUGGUGAUUAUAAACAAUUAUUUAUGCCAUCCAAUAUCAUCUAGUUUCAGGAAAAUCACUGAGCUAGUUCCAUUUGGGGAUUAAUCCAAUUCUAGGGGGCAUUAACAUUUCUGGGAAGCCGAUCCAUUUACAUAGACAUAAUAGGCAGUUUUUUCAAUGUAGCUGCAUUAGGCUACGAAGCCCUUCGUCCAAUUGGUUUCGACUUCACUCUUUACUAUGUUGGAAAUAUAAAGCUUAUCUCAAUUGUUGUUAUUAAACAAGGAAAUGACUUUUUCAACUUGCUGUUUUGCUUCCUAAAGGUGAAGGGGGCCUAACUUAUUGUUCUCAAGCUUGGUGCGAAAUAAAAGGAUUGUAUUUGAUCUAUAUAAGUUAAUUGGGAGGUGGUUUUUACAAUAAUAAUCUUUCUUACUAAAUAAGUAAAAUCGAGGGGUAGAAAAUCGAGGUUAGAUCUACCCCUCUUUCUACCGAUUUUUUUAUUUGACCUUCUAUAGAUAACCUUGAUUUUGAUCUACCACGGCAAAAAAAUAAUAUUAAUAUGGUUAUCAAUGGCCUGAUGUCAUCUAGCUGUCUAUCUAUUCGUAUUUUUUGUUGAAAUACCAUCUGAGGAGAUACAUUACCAACAGCAGUAGGCAUGGAGGUCUUUUUUAACUCCGUAUGUGAAAGAUGGAAAAAUCAAACCAAUGAAGAGCUUGAGGGCAGACUCAACAUGUGGAUGGUUAGUGACAACCCUUCUUACCUUUGAUAACAGUCGAGUAAAAUGGCUUAUGAGAUGGAAGGCUAAAGAUAGAGGAGCUAUAAAUGGUUAAAUACCAAUUGGGAAAAAGAUGCAAUGUUUUCCCUGUCCUAUCAAUUGGCAAUGAUAUCUCUACAAUGAUAUCUCUAUCUUCUGCCACUGCAAGACAUAAUAGAGUUUACAUAUAUUGAUUGGCUUUCUCUCCUAUUAGUGGGCCUUCCAAAUUCUUUUCUAUUUAAUGAUUUCCAAAAACAUUGAAAGAGUUAUUUAUUUUAUAUAUUGUAAUUCUUUCUAUUUAAUUUCUAAUUGUAUUGUUCCAUCAGUCACAUUAUUCAAGUUUGAAUGGCCGGUCUAAGACAGACUUAUAUUGUCUAUUUAUG
rnacentral:lncRNA from 1 species